rnacentral:rRNA from 1 species
UUCCAGACUCCUACGGGAGGCAGCAGUGGGGAAUAUUGCACAAUGGGGGAAACCCUGAUGCAGCGACGCCGCGUGAGUGAAGAAGUAUUUCGGUAUGUAAACUUCUAUCAGCAGGGAAGAAAAUGACGGUACCUGACUAAGAAGCCCCGGCUAACUACGUGCCAGCAGCCGCGGUAAUACGUAGGGGGCAAGCGUUAUCCGGAUUUACUGGGUGUAAAGGGAGCGUAGACGGCGAUGCAAGCCAGAUGUGAAAGCCCGGGGCUCAACCCCGGGACUGCAUUUGGAACUGUGUGGCUGGAGUGUCGGAGAGGCAAGUGGAAUUCCUAGUGUAGCGGUGAAAUGCGUAGAUAUUAGGAGGAACACCAGUGGCGAAGGCGGCUUGCUGGACGAUGACUGACGUUGAGGCUCGAAAGCGUGGGGAGCAAACAGGAUUAGAUACCCGAGUA